UCGCGAAAACUUUGCAAUAAGCGAAAGCUUGACAGGGCUAUCCCGAGUGCCAUCCGCUGAGGAAGGCUUUUACCCAGUCUAGAACGCUGGGGGAAUAAGGAGAGGGCAAGUCUGGUGUCAGCCGCCGCGGUAAUACCAGCUCUCCGAGUGGUGUGGAUGUUUAUUGGGCCUAAAGCAUCCGUAGCUGGCUAAGUUAGUCCCUUGUUAAAUCCACCGAAUUAAUCGUUGGAUUGCGGGGGAUACUGCUUGGCUAGGGGACGAGAGAGGCAGACGGUAUUUCCGGGGUAGGGGUGAAAUCCUAUAAUCCCGGGAAGACCACCAGUGGCGAAGGCUGUCUGCUAGAACGCGCCCGACGGUGAGGGAUGGAAAGCUGGGGGAGCGAACCGGAUUAGAUACCCGGGUAGUCCCAGCUAGUAAACGAUGCAGGCUAGGUGUUUGGACGGCCACGUGCCGUUCUAGUGCCGCGAGGGAAGCGUAGUUAAGCCUGCCGCGUGGGGAUACGAUCGCAAGAUUAGAAACUUAAGGAUUGGCGGGGA
rnacentral:rRNA from 1 species